UUUGUCAUCUCCCAAGAAAAUACAUAAUGGUGUUACAGGCACAGCCUGGGGCAGCUUUGUUUGGGGUCCUGUGUGAACUUUGACCUGACCUGACCUGACCUGACCUGCUGGUGGGAGCAUAAUGAGAGAGGAAGUGUGUGGCGAUGUAGAAAGUGUGUGUCUAAAAGCUGAGAGGAAAAGUUGUUGCUAUGAAAGGUAUGUGUGCUUCAAAACUGCCCUCUUUGACAUUAAAAGUAAAGCCUGCUUGCUGCAAGGAAAAUUGGCGUCAUCAUUCCCAAGAAUGACGUCCGGGAACUCGUUGAGUUGUUUGCCGGCUCACCGAGCCAGAUAUAGACAGUUCUACAGUUCGGGUCUGAAGAUACUGCUCAGUGAUAAAAAGGAAUCGUUAAGGGAAUCCAUCCAUCCAUCCAUCCAUUUUCUACCGCUUAUUCCCUUUCGGGGUUGCGGGGGGCGCUGGCGCCUAUCUCAGCUACAAUCGGGCGGAAGGCGGGGUACACCCUGGACAAGUCGCCACCUCAUCACAGGGCCGUUAAGGGAAGCAAUUGAAAAAUUGGCAAGCUGAACUGAUAAACCGGCAACUGGUUCUGAAUAACAUUCAGUAUUUGAUUCCCAUCCCUAACAUUAUGCAUGUGCACAAUGUUAAUGGAGGCUUUUGGAUGUUUUUAGAGUGCUUUUGAGGUGAAAUACUCCCCAUUAUCUAGCAGUUUCUUCACUAUUUAGAGUGCACAGAAAAGAGAAAUACAAAAAAGUGCUGUUUUUAUUUAAUCAACUGUUUUAUGCACUGUUUUCUUCUAUACAAUUUUCAUUUUUUAACAGGUUUAGGUUAGCCUAAGCAAUUAUUUUCAGGAAAAAGCUAAAGCCCUAACUUGAUUUUGUUUCUGGAUGUUUGUGUCAGUUGAAAAAAAAUCCCCAAGGGGAUUCCAUUGAUUUCAAGAAGGUUUUUCCAUUAAUGAUGCUCUUGGUUGCCAUCGCAUUUUUGACUACCUACAAACACUUCAAUGACCUAAUUAGUUUAGUGACAACAGCUGCUCUAUAGAGCUAUUGGAUGUAGGUUGAGCCCCACUACUAACUAUAUGCAAGCACAGCCAAAUGUAUUGUGUGCCUGUGGUAAAUCAAAUCUUACAAAAAACGCUUAAGAAUGAAUGCAAAUGCAUUAAAUCUGUCCUAAACACCCAAAUAUGUUGACACAAAGCAUAUUUUUUCGAAAAUAUUUAUAUUUUACAUGCAGAAAACAAUGCAAAACUCUGUAAAUGACAAAUGAAAUGGAUAAAAUAAACAUUGAACAUGCAUUUUACCUUUA